GUUUGGCUGAGAAUACGGCAUCUUCCGUCUCUCAUGAUGCCGGUCAAUUUCGUACUUUCUUCCAAGAAAGUACACCAAAAUGGAGGCACUGCCUUUCAAUUACUUUUUGCAUUAAAGACUUUAACUUGUUUAUUCCAACUGCUUUGGUUUCUUACAGUUUUAUGAAAAAGGCAGCUUCUUAAAAUGGAGUUGCCUCCUGAUCUGGCGCACGCCUUGUGACUUAGGAGGGCAUUUGUUUCCCACUGCCUGUCAACAUCUCAGCCCUCCAUGCUCCCAGCACAGGCAAAAAUGGGUUAACAAUCAUUAAACCACCCACUUCUUAUGGAAGGAACUGAGGGCCCGACUUCUAUCACCUUGUGUCACUCCAUUGAUUUCGUCGUCAUCACUGUGUUGGGGGUGCAGAAAUAUUCUACAAGCAGUCCUAAUCCUGAGGACAUGGAGGAAAGAGCCACCACCUGUCUGUCUUCAGGGGAAAGUUCCCACAGACUCUGCCGUGGUUCCUCACACCAAUAUGGAUGCAGGGGAAGACAGAAGUUCUGGAAGGCAAUCCACCCAGAUCUUCCCUUCAUAUGAGAAAAGAGCCACUCCUCAAGACCAAACAAUACAAGGGCAGCAAGAUCCAAACAACUUCUGGGGGCUAGGUGGAAAUUCUACCAUGUGUGACCUGGAGCUGGGGAAAGAAAUGAGGGCUGCCUGGCCUGCCGCUGCAUGAGGAGGGCUGCCAGCCUAAGGACUUCAAGUCCUCCUCCACAGACUUCCAGCCCUUGACCUGCUGGUAACAGGAAGAUAGUUCGUGAAACAGCUCAGCGCUGGUCUACAUCCACCAUGUACACUGGAUCUUUGGAAAGUUGUGAUUUUUAGAAUCUCUGAAGAUAAUCCAAUUACACUUUGUUCAGAUGAAAAAUGAUCACUGUUCUUUCAUGAUUAUUGGUCUUCAUGUAGUUGUUGUUAUUAUAAAUAACUGAAUCACUAUUGAAGAAAUCUG
rnacentral:lncRNA from 1 species